AGUGAACGCUGGCGGUAGGCCUAACACAUGCAAGUCGAACGGCAGCACAGUAAGAGCUUGCUCUUACGGGUGGCGAGUGGCGGACGGGUGAGGAAUACAUCGGAAUCUACUUUUUCGUGGGGGAUAACGUAGGGAAACUUACGCUAAUACCGCAUACGACCUACGGGUGAAAGCAGGGGAUCUUCGGACCUUGCGCGAUUGAAUGAGCCGAUGUCGGAUUAGCUAGUUGGCGGGGUAAAGGCCCACCAAGGCGACGAUCCGUAGCUGGUCUGAGAGGAUGAACCGCCCAACUUGGAACGAGACACGGUUCAGACUCCUACGGGAGGCAGCAGUGGGGAAUAUUGGACAAUGGGCGCAAGCCUGAUCCAGCCAUACCGCGUGGGUGAAGAAGGCCUUCGGGUUGUAAAGCCCUUUUGUUGGGAAAGAAAAGCAGCAGGUUAAUACCCCGCUGUUCUGACGGUACCCAAAGAAUAAGCACCGGCUAACUUCGUG
rnacentral:rRNA from 1 species